rnacentral:rRNA from 1 species
GGCUCAGGACGAACGCUGGCGGCGUGCCUAAUACAUGCAAGUCGAACGAACUCUGGUAUUGAUUGGUGCUUGCAUCAUGAUUUACAUUUGAGUGAGUGGCGAACUGGUGAGUAACACGUGGGAAACCUGCCCAGAAGCGGGGGAUAACACCUGGAAACAGAUGCUAAUACCGCAUAACAACUUGGACCGCAUGGUCCGAGCUUGAAAGAUGGCUUCGGCUAUCACUUUUGGAUGGUCCCGCGGCGUAUUAGCUAGAUGGUGGGGUAACGGCUCACCAUGGCAAUGAUACGUAGCCGACCUGAGAGGGUAAUCGGCCACAUUGGGACUGAGACACGGCCCAAACUCCUACGGGAGGCAGCAGUAGGGAAUCUUCCACAAUGGACGAAAGUCUGAUGGAGCAACGCCGCGUGAGUGAAGAAGGGUUUCGGCUCGUAAAACUCUGUUGUUAAAGAAGAACAUAUCUGAGAGUAACUGUUCAGGUAUUGACGGUAUUUAACCAGAAAGCCACGGCUAACUACGUGCCAGCAGCCGCGGUAAUACGUAGGUGGCAAGCGUUGUCCGGAUUUAUUGGGCGUAAAGCGAGCGCAGGCGGUUUUUUAAGUCUGAUGUGAAAGCCUUCGGCUCAACCGAAGAAGUGCAUCGGAAACUGGGAAACUUGAGUGCAGAAGAGGACAGUGGAACUCCAUGUGUAGCGGUGAAAUGCGUAGAUAUAUGGAAGAACACCAGUGGCGAAGGCGGCUGUCUGGUCUGUAACUGACGCUGAGGCUCGAAAGUAUGGGUAGCAAACAGGAUUAGAUACCCUGGUAGUCCAUACCGUAAACGAUGAAUGCUAAGUGUUGGAGGGUUUCCGCCCUUCAGUGCUGCAGCUAACGCAUUAAGCAUUCCGCCUGGGGAGUACGGCCGCAAGGCUGAAACUCAAAGGAAUUGACGGGGGCCCGCACAAGCGGUGGAGCAUGUGGUUUAAUUCGAAGCUACGCGAAGAACCUUACCAGGUCUUGACAUACUAUGCAAAUCUAAGAGAUUAGACGUUCCCUUCGGGGACAUGGAUACAGGUGGUGCAUGGUUGUCGUCAGCUCGUGUCGUGAGAUGUUGGGUUAAGUCCCGCAACGAGCGCAACCCUUAUUAUCAGUUGCCAGCAUUAAGUUGGGCACUCUGGUGAGACUGCCGGUGACAAACCGGAGGAAGGUGGGGAUGACGUCAAAUCAUCAUGCCCCUUAUGACCUGGGCUACACACGUGCUACAAUGGAUGGUACAACGAGUUGCGAACUCGCGAGAGUAAGCUAAUCUCUUAAAGCCAUUCUCAGUUCGGAUUGUAGGCUGCAACUCGCCUACAUGAAGUCGGAAUCGCUAGUAAUCGCGGAUCAGCAUGCCGCGGUGAAUACGUUCCCGGGCCUUGUACACACCGCCCGUCACACCAUGAGAGUUUGUAACACCCAAAGUCGGUGGGGUAACCUUUUAGGAACCAGCCGCCUAAGGUGGGACAGAUGAUUAGGGUG